GGGGGGUGACUAGUUAGGGAGGGGGUGACUAGUGACAGAAUGAUGGAGGGGAUGACUAGUGACAGAGGGAGGGGUAACACUGUGACUAGUCACCCCAUCCCUCCCUCUGUCACUAGUCACCCCCUCCCUCACACUGUCACUAGUC